AUCUCAGAUUCUUCUUCUUCUUCUUCUUCUUCUUC
rnacentral:sRNA from 1 species